rnacentral:rRNA from 1 species
GAGGGGCGGGGGAAGUGGCGAAAGGGGCAGUAAGGCGUGGGUAACCUACCCUGGGGACUGGGAUAGCCUUCCUAACGGGAGGGUAAUACCAGGCGAUGUAAUCGGGGCGCAUGUUUUGGUUACGAAAUGAAUUUCGCCUCGGGCGGGGCCCACGUGGUAUUAGCUUGUUGGUGAGGUAACGGCUCAUCAAGGCGAAGAUGCCUAGCAGGUGUGAGAGCACGACCUGCGCCACUGGCACUGAGACACUGGCCAGACUCCUACGGGAGGCUGCAGUCGAGGAUCUUCGGCAAUGGGCGCAAGCCUGACCGAGCGACGCCGCGUGUGCGAUGAAGGCCUUCGGGUUGUAAAGCACUGUCGAGGGGGAGGAAAGCCCGCAAGGGUCUGACCUAUCCCUGGAGGAAGCACGGGCUAAGUUCGUGCCAGCAGCCGCGGUAAGACGAACCGUGCAAACGUUGUUCGGAUUCACUGGGCUUAAAGGGCGCGUAGGCGGCUUGCCAAGUCAGGGGUGAAAUCUUUCGGCUCAACCGGAAAAUUGCUUUUGAUACUGGUGAGCUUGAGGGAGGUAGGGGCAGAUGGAACUUCCGGUGGAGCGGUGAAAUGCGUAGAUAUCGGAAGGAACGCCGGUGGCGAAAGCGAUCUGCUGGAUCUCUACUGACGCUGAGGCGCGAAAGCCAGGGGAGCAAACGGGAUUAGAUACCCCGGUAGUCCUGGCCCUAAACGAUGGGUACUAGGUAGUGGACUUGACAUGGGUUCACUGCCGAAGCAAAAGUGUUAAGUACCCCGCCUGGGGAGUAUGGUCGCAAGGCUGAAACUCAAAGGAAUUGACGGGGGCUCACACAAGCGGUGGAGCAUGUGGUUUAAUUCGACGCAACGCGCAGAACCUUACCAGGGUUUGACAUCCUGUGCUCACCGGAGAGAUCCGGUUUCCCCGCAAGGGGCGCAGAGACAGGUGCUGCAUGGCUGUCGUCAGCUCGUGUCGUGAGAUGUUGGGUUAAGUCCCGCAACGAGCGCAACCCUCGCCUUUAGUUGCCAUCAUUAAGUUGGGCACUCUAGAGGGACCGCCGGCGGCAAGCCGGAGGAAGGUGGGGAUGACGUCAAGUCCUCAUGGCCCUUACACCCUGGGCUACACACGUGCUACAAUGGCGGUGACAGUGGGCAGCCAACUCGCGAGAGUGAGCUAAUCCCAAAAAACCGUCCCAGUUCAGAUUGCAGUCUGCAACUCGGCUGCAUGAAGGUGGAAUCGCUAGUAAUCGCAGAACAGCAGGCUGCGGUGAAUACGUUCCCGGGCCUUGUACACACCGC